CCUACGGGAGGCUGCAGUAGGGAAUCUUCCACAAUGGGCGAAAGCCUGAUGGAGCAACGCCGCGUGGGUGAAGAAGGUCUUCGGAUCGUAAAACCCUGUUGUUAGAGAAGAAAGUGCGUGAGAGUAACUGUUCACGUUUCGACGGUAUCUAACCAGAAAGCCACGGCUCACUACGUGCCAGCAGGCGCGGGAAUACGUAGGUGGCAAGCGUUAUCCGGAUUUUUUGGGCGGAAAGGGAACGCAGGAGGUCUUUUAAGUCUGAGGGGAAAGCCCUCGGCUUAACCGGAGGAGUGCAUUGGAAACUGGGAGACUUGAGUGCAGAAGAGGAGGGUGGAACUCCAUGUGUAGCGGUGAAAUGCGUAGAUAUAUGGAAGAACACCAGUGGCGAAGGCGGCUCUCUGGUCUGUAACUGACGCUGAGGUUCGAAAGCGUGGGUAGCAAACAGGAUUAGAUACCCGAGUAGUC
rnacentral:rRNA from 1 species